AGGGCGAACGCUGGCGGCAUGCUUAACACAUGCAAGUCGCACGGGCAGGGGAAACCCUGUCAGUGGCGGACGGGUGAGUAACGCGUAGGUAUCUAUCCUUGGGUGGGGGACAACCGUGGGAAACUACGGCUAAUACCGCAUGAUGACUGAGGUCCAAAGCUUGUGAGAGCGCCUGGGGCGGAGCCUGCGUACGAUUAGCUAGUUGGUGGGGUAAAGGCCUACCAAGGCAGUGAUCGGUA
rnacentral:rRNA from 1 species